AGUAGGGAAUCUUCCGCAAUGGACGAAAGUCUGACGGAGCAACGCCGCGUGAGUGAUGAAGGUUUUCGGAUCGUAAAGCUCUGUUGUUAGGGAAGAACAAGUGCGAGAGUAACUGCUCGCACCUUGACGGUACCCUAACCAGAAAGCCACGGCUAACUACGUGCCAGCAGCCGCGGUAAUACGUAGGUGGCAAGCGUUGUCCGGAAUUAUUGGGCGUAAAGGGCUCGCAGGCGGUUUCUUAAGUCUGAUGUGAAAGCCCCCCGGCUCAACCGGGGAGGGUCAUUGGAAACUGGGAAACUUGAGUGCAGAAGAGGAGAGUGGAAUUCCACGUGUAGCGGUGAAAUGCGUAGAGAUGUGGAGGAACACCAGUGGCGAAGGCGACUCUCUGGUCUGUAACUGACGCUGAGGAGCGAAAGCGUGGGGAGCGAACAGGAUUAGAUACCCUGGUAGUCCACGCCGUAAACGAUGAGUGCUAAGUGUUAGGGGGUUUCCGCCCCUUAGUGCUGCAGCUAACGCAUUAAGCACUCCGCCUGGGGAGUACGGUCGCAAGACUGAAACUCAAAGGAAUUGACGGGGGCCCGCACAAGCGGUGGAGCAUGUGGUUUAAUUCGAAGCAACGCGAAGAACCUUACCAGGUCUUGACAUCCUCUGACAACCCUAGAGAUAGGGCUUUCCCUUCGGGGACAGAGUGACAGGUGGUGCAUGGUUGUCGUCAGCUCGUGUCGUGAGAUGUUGGGUUAAGUCCCGCAACGAGCGCAACCCUUGAUCUUAGUUGCCAGCAUUUAGUUGGGCACUCUAAGGUGACUGCCGGUGACAAACCGGA
rnacentral:rRNA from 1 species